rnacentral:rRNA from 1 species
AUUGAACGCUGGCGGCAGGCCUAACACAUGCAAGUCGAACGAGUUGCGGACGGGUGAGUAAUGUCUGGGAAACUUCCCGAUGGAGGGGGAUAACUACUGGAAACGGUAGCUAAUACCGCAUACCAUCGGAUGUGCCCAGAUGGUAUUAGCUUGUAGGUGCGGUAACGGCUAACCUAGGCGACGAUCCCUAGCUGGUCUGCGAGGAUGACCAGCACAACUGGAACGGAGAGACGGUCCAGACUCCUACGGUAGGCAGCAGUGGGGAAUAUUGCACAAUGGGCGCAAGCCUGAUGCAGCCAUGCGGCGUGUAUGAAGAAGGCCUGCGGGUUGUAAAGUACUUUCAGCGAGGAGGCGUUACCCGCAGAAGAAGCACCGGCUAACUCCGUGCCAGAAGCCGCGGUAAUAC